AUCCAGCUGACCAGUCCUAAAUAGGACGAAACACUCAUCCUAGAU
rnacentral:hammerhead_ribozyme from 1 species